rnacentral:rRNA from 1 species
AUGGACGACGGCGGGAUCCAGGAGGAGGAGCAGCCGCCGUCGGCGCGGCCGCUCAGGCCGAAGCGAUCGGGGGGCAGCUCGCGGUGGGUGGACGCCAGCGAGGUCGACUCGUCCGAGUCCGCGCACUGGUCGCUCGAGGACGAGCGGGAGCCCUGGGCCCUCUCGGCCGCCGACGAGGCCGAGGUCCUGUGCGCCACAGGAGGGGCCCUGCUCUCGCGGAGGAGCUCCUCCGCGUUUCGCCGGAGGCUGGGGAAGCGGCCCAAGAGGGUGGACUCCCUCGACGUCGAGUCCAUGAACGUGCGCGGCGCGCAUGGCCACAGCGCCCAGGAUAUAUCGUUGAUGGGCACCGUCGCGAUGGCAUUUCAAACCCUCGGAGUUGUUUAUGGUGACAUGGGUACGAGCCCUCUAUAUGUCUUCAGCGAUGUGUUCAGCAAGGUCCCCAUCAAGUCAGAGGUGGAGAUCCUUGGAGCGCUUUCGCUGGUCAUGUACACGAUAGCGUUGAUUCCUUUUGCGAAAUACGUAUUUAUAGUCCUGAAAGCCAAUGACAAUGGCGAAGGGGGCACGUUUGCAUUAUAUUCGUUGAUUUGCAGGUAUGCAAAAGUCAGCCUGUUGCCGAAUCAGCAGCGUGUGGAUGAAAAUAUUUCUAGUUUUAGGCUCAAGUUACCUACUCCUGAGCUUGAACGUGCUCUGCUUGUCAAAGACUACCUAGAAAAGAAGCCACUCUACAAAAAUAUUCUCCUGUUCUUGGUUCUGAUGGGGACUUCCAUGGUGAUUGGAGAUGGCAUCCUCACUCCGUCAAUGUCAGUUAUGUCUGCUGUCAGUGGUCUCCAGGGUCAAGUUGCUGGAUUUGAUGCAGGGAGUAUUUGUUAUGCCCUUCAUGAAUAUUGCAACUGUCUGCUUAUGUCCUGUCAUUAUAUCACCGCCGACAUAUUAAACCAUCUUUUCAUACAAUCCUACUUUCCAAAGCCACAAGAACAUAAGUAUCUCCUUGCUUCAUCUUUUUUUUUUGCAGAUGCUGUUGUAAUUGUUUCAAUCCUAGUUCUUCUGCUAUUAUUCAGUGUCCAGAGCUUUGGAACUGGCAAAGUUGGAAUCAUGUUCGCUCCCGUUUUGGCUUUGUGGUUUCUUAAUUUGGGCUCCAUUGGAAUAUACAACAUAAUUAAGUAUGACACGUCAGUCGUGAGAGCACUCAAUCCAAUGUACAUCUAUUAUUUUUUCAAGAUGAACGGCAUAAAGGCAUGGUCAGCUCUCGGUGGUUGUGUCUUGUGCAUCACAGGAGCUGAAGCAAUGUUUGCUGAUCUGGGCCAUUUCACUGUCAAAUCAAUACAACUAGCAUUUACUGCUGUGGUAUUCCCUUGCCUGCUUAUUGCGUACAUGGGCCAAGCUGCAUAUUUGAUGAAGCAUCCACUUGAUGUAGAAAGGGUAUUUUAUGAUUCUGUACCAGAAGUUCUGUUCUGGCCAGUAUUUGUGAUUGCUACACUUGCUGCUAUGAUUGCCAGCCAAGCUAUGAUAUCUGCAACCUUCUCUUGCAUAAAGCAGGCUAUGGCUCUUGGUUGCUUUCCUAGGAUCAAAAUAAUCCAUACCUCCAAGAAAGUCAUGGGUCAGAUUUACAUACCUGUGAUGAAUUGGUUUCUCAUGAUCAUGUGCAUCAUCAUCGUGGCCACUUUCAGGAGUACGAACGAUAUUGCCAAUGCAUAUGGCAUUGCUGAAGUUGGAGUCAUGAUGGUCAGCACUGCACUGGUAACCUUGGUGAUGCUUCUUAUAUGGCAAACCAAUCUGUACCUUGUUCUGUGCUUCCCUAUAUUUUUUGGUGCAAUGGAGUUCAUUUACUUAACUGCUGUCAUGUCAAAGCUGCUAGAAGGAGGAUGGUUACCACUUGCUUUCUCAUCAUUGUUUCUUUGCAUAAUGUAUACAUGGAACUAUGGAAGCGUGUUGAAAUACCAGAGUGAGAUGCGUGGGAAGAUAUCCCUGGACUUUAUUCUCGACCUGGGAUCGACACUUGGCACAGUAAGAGUUCCAGGUAUUGGACUUGUGUACAAUGAGCUGGUCCAGGGAAUCCCAUCGAUCUUUGGUCAUCUGUUGAUCACACUGCCAGCAAUGCACUCCACGAUCGUUUUUGUUUGCAUCAAAUAUGUUCCUGUCCCAUAUGUGCCGCUUGAAGAAAGGUUCUUGUUCAGAAGGGUUGGCCAGAAGGACUACCACAUGUUCCGUUGUGUCGCACGUUAUGGCUACAAGGAUGUCAGGAAAGAGGACCAUGGCUCAUUUGAGCAUCUCUUGGUUGAAAGCCUAGAGAAAUUUCUGAGGAGGGAGGCCCAGGAACUCGCGCUCGAGGUGAGCACAAUGGAGGCAGAGCGUGAUGAUGUGUCUGAAGUGUCCGAGAUAGUUCCAUCAUCUCCUGCUACUGCUGCUGAGGAUCUGCACACUCCACUGCUUUCUGAUCAGAGACCGGGUGAUGACAGCCGAAUGUUGGGCAUGGAAGGCAGCGUUCCUUUGCCCCCCUCUAGCUCCAUGUCCGCGGAAGAAGACCCCAGCUUAGAGUACGAGCUCGCGGCACUGAGGGACGCCAUGGCAUCUGGGUUCACAUAUCUCUUAGCACAUGGUGAUGUGAGGGCGAGGAAGCAAUCAUUCUUCACAAAGAAGUUCAUCAUCAACUAUUUCUACGCUUUCCUGAGGAGGAACUGCAGGGGUGGCACUGCAACCUUGAAGAUGCCUCACUCGAACAUCAUGCGUGUGGGGAUGACGUACAUGGUCUGA